rnacentral:rRNA from 1 species
CACGUAGGGGACGAGCGUUGUCCGGAUUCAUUGGGCGUAAAGCGCGCGUAGGCGGCUCGGAAAGUCGGGUGUGAAAUCCCACGGCUCAACCGUGGAAGUGCACUCGAAACUGCAGGGCUAGAGUCCUGGAGAGGAAGGUGGAAUGCUUGGUGUAGAGGUGAAAUUCGUAGAUAUCAAGCGGAACACCGGUGGCGAAGGCGGCCUUCUGGACAGUGACUGACGCUGAGACGCGAAAGCGUGGGGAGCAAACAGG